rnacentral:rRNA from 1 species
GGGAAACCGGGGCUAAUACCGGAUAACAUUUUGAACCGCAUGGUUCGAAAUUGAAAGGUGGCUUCGGCUGCCACUUAUGGAUGGACCCGCGUCGCAUUAGCUAGUUGGUGAGGUAACGGCUCACCAAGGCAAUGAUGCGUAGCCGACCUGAGAGGGUGAUCGGCCACACUGGGACUGAGACACGGCCCAGACUCCUACGGGAG